rnacentral:sRNA from 1 species
GACAGUCCUCGUUAGGCGAGGCGUCUAUGCGAAUACAUGCCACUGCCCGGAAACGUGGAAACACGCCAAUGGGUUGAACAGGUACUGCCGGAUUAAGGCUUUACUUAACGUGGCCGGGUGAGAACCCUACGUCGUAUAGUGCCAAAGCUCAACUAGGGGGAUUGUG